GCGCCCGCCGGUCUCAUCAGAAUCUCUGUUUUCGAACCGACGAUACUUCUGAGUGUUCUUAGCGAACUGUCAAAACUUUUAACAACGGAUCUCUUGGCUCCAGCAUCGAUGAAGAACGCAGCGAAACGCGAUAUGUAAUGUGAAUUGCAGAAUUCAGUGAAUCAUCGAAUCUUUGAACGCACAUGGCGCCUUCCAGUAUCCUGGGAGGCAUGCCUGUCCGAGCGUCGUUUCAACCCUCGAGCCCCUGUGGCCCGGCGUUGGGGAUCUGCCACGGCAGGCCCCUAAAACCAGUGGCGGACCCGAAGGGCCCUCUCCUUUGCGCAGUAGCAUUCGCCUCGCAUCGGGAGUCCUCGGCGUCCUGCUCUAAACCCCCCACAAGCCCGCUUCGGCGGCACCAAGGUUGACCUCGGAUCAGGUAGGAAUACCCGCUGAACUUAA
rnacentral:rRNA from 1 species